rnacentral:tRNA from 1 species
GGGCGAUUAGCUCAGCGGUAGAGCGCUGCCUUCACACGGCAGAGGUCGGGGGAUCAAAACCCUCAUCGCCCACGA